rnacentral:rRNA from 1 species
AAUGAACGCUGGCGGCAGGCCUAACACAUGCAAGUCGAACGGAUCCUUCGGGAUUAGUGGCGGACGGGUGAGUAACGCGUGGGAACAUACCCUUUGGUACGGAAUAGCCUCGGGAAACUGGGAGUAAUACCGUAUGUGGUCGAGAGACGAAAGAUUUAUCGCCAAAGGAUUGGCACGCGUUGGAUUAGGUAGUUGGUGGGGUAAUGGCCUACCACGACGACGAUCCAUAGCGGGUUUGAGAGGAUGAUCAGCCACACUGGGACUGAGACACGGCCCAGACUCCUACAGGAGGCAGCAGUGGGGAAACUUAGAACAUGGGGACAACCCUGAUCUGGCCAUGCCGCGUGAUCGAUGAAGGCCUUAGGGUUGGAAAGAUCUUUCAGGUGGGAAGAUAAUGACUGUACCACCAGAAGAAGCCCCGGCGAACUCCGUGCCAGCGGCCGCCGUAA